rnacentral:lncRNA from 1 species
GUGGUUUACAUGGUAAUCAACUCUUUCUUUAUAAAACAUAUUUUAGCGCAAUUAUGUUAUUUUUGUGUUAUAAAAUAAUGACAUUAACAAAAAAAAAAAAUAAUAAAAAUUCUGUGCAGGUGAACAAGGCCCUCAAGGCUUCAGAGGUGAACCUGGCCCUGCCGGGCCUAAAGGUGUGUAUCACAAUGAACACUUGGUAUGUUUUCAAAAAGCAUUAUAUAAACAAAAUCCGAAUGUUUAUAGAUUUAAAAAAAAAAAAAAUCUUUACAGGUGAAAGAGGUCCCUCCGGUCCACCUGGAAUUAAAGGUGAUCAUGGUGAUAGAGGAGAAAAUGGAAUGCCAGGUGUUCCUGGUGCUGCAGGACGACAAGGGCCAUCUGGUGAGAAAGGAGCUAAAGGAUCAGCAGGUGAUUCAUCUGUAGGAACAGACACAAACCUGAGAUUUUUGGCUUUUUGCCAUUUUAUUGU